AACGAACGCUGGCGGCAGGCUUAACACAUGCAAGUCGAACGAGAUCUUCGGAUCUAGUGGCAGACGGGUGAGGAACACGUGGGAACAUCCCUUUCAGUUCGGAAUAACGUUGGGAAACUAACGCUAAUACCGGAUACGUCCUUCGGGAGAAAGAUUUAUCGCUGAAAGAUUGGCCCGCGUCUGAUUAGCUAGUUGGUGAGGUAAUGGCUCACCAAGGCUACGAUCAGUAGCUGAUCUGAGAGGAUGAUCAGCCACAUUGGGACUGAGACACGGCCCAAACUCCUACGGGAGGCAGCAGUGGGGAAUAUUGGACAAUGGGCGCAAGCCUGAUCCAGCCAUGCCGCGUGAGUGAUGACGGCCUUCGGGUUGUAAAGCUCUUUUGUCCGGGAGGAUAAUGACUGUACCGGAAGAAUAAGCCCCGGCAAACUUCGUGCCAGCAGCCGCCGUAAGAC
rnacentral:rRNA from 1 species